rnacentral:rRNA from 1 species
AUUGAACGCUGGCGGCAGGCCUAACACAUGCAAGUCGAACGAGUGGCGGACGGGUGAGUAAUGUCUGGGAAACUGCCUGAUGGAGGGGGAUAACUACUGGAAACGGUAGCUAAUACCGCAUACCAUCAGAUGUGCCCAGAUGGGAUUAGCUAGUUGGUGGGGUAACGGCUCACAAAGGUGACGAUCCCUAGCUGGGCUGAUAGGAUGACCAGCCACACUGGAACGUAGACCAGGUCCAGACUCCUACGGGAGUAAGCAGGGGGGAAUAUUGCACAAUGGGCGCAAGCCUGAUGCAGCCAUGCCGCUGGUAUGAAGAAGGCCUUCGGGUUGUAAAGUACUUUCAGCGGGGAGGCGUUACCCGCAGAAGAAGCCCCGGCUAACUCCGUGCCAGCAGCCGCGGUAAUAC